rnacentral:lncRNA from 1 species
UUCCCAAUUACUGUGUUGAUCAAAGACCCCAACCAGGACUUAUUCUUGAGGAGAAAGGCAAAGAAGAAAAUUGGUUACAGUGAUGAUACUUGAUGGACAAUAUUCUGUGAAACUGCCAUUCCAUACAAGAACUAUGAUUUACAUUUGUUUCCCAUUCAUGGCAAUGUCAUAAACCGAAUCAAAGAGGAUACCUUAAGAUGUUUAAAGAUAAAAAAACAAAAACAGAACAUUCCAAACAGCCUUUGGAAAUCUUAUCUGGUAAAACUCAAUCGAACUUAACAUAUAUGAGUGCCACACACAACAAGCAACAGGAAUAUCUUAACACUGAUGUCAAAUCUCAGUUCAUUUAGAAUCCCUGAACUAUACUUUCUAUAGAAACUGUAAUGCCAUUUUUAAUUACUCCUAAUGCUGAACCAUAAGCAUGGAUAA